AAAAAAAAAAAAAAGAUUGAGCUAGAAGGAACACGUCCUACUUCAAAUAGAAGGAAGAAAGUCAGAAUUGAUGCGAUUGUGAAAAAAAGGUUCAAUUUUAGAGUUAUCCAGCUUGCUAUGUAUCAGGGUCAUCAGACAUCAAGAUCUGUCAAUUGUUGCUGUUUUGGAUUAUAAAAUGUGUUAUUUGAUUAUUUGGUCUGAACCAAGUAAACUACUUCUCUUGUUCAUCUUUUACAAUAUAUGCUCUUAAUAAGUUGUUCUUUUGUUAUGCUUGUGAAUAUUUAGAUAAUUUCUAAUUGUAGUAAUGAUGUGUCAAUUAGUUGAUGUUAAUAGUCUUUUUAAAUCUGUAAUUAGUGAUAUUAGUGAUUGAACCUAUAAAUAGCCAAAGUGGAUAGUAGUGGGGGUUAUCUGGCUUUUGUGUUUUGUGAGAAAGUAAAAACUUGGUAUUUGUAACACUUUUGCUUGAUAUCAAUAAAAUACUUUACAAGGAAUUCUUUCAAGUACUGUAAUUCUCUUCCAGGGUCUAUCAAUUAUUAAGGUAAUCUUUCCUAUCUUUGUUUGACACCUUUCGCCAAAUUAUGAGUUUCGCUUUCAAUUAAUGCAUAUAUAUAUCUAUAUGAAACAAGCAAUGUUCUCUCAGGGCUCUGUGGAAAGACGAAUGAAAACGAAGAUUUUAGCUAUAUGCUGACAACUCUAGCUUGAAAGAAACAGUCUUAUCUUUCAUGGCAUCGAAUCAGAGUUGAUGCAGCUGUGGGAAAACGAAAAAGUUCAAUUUUAGGACCCUUUGCAAGCUUCAGCUUCUGGAAACUCAAUCUAUGCAAAGUGUUACAAAAUUCUCAAAUCCAUACCACAAAACUUCAAGCUGAGGUAAGCAUCUAAAU